rnacentral:lncRNA from 1 species
UGGCAUUCUUUGGUGCAAAAUUGAAGCCCAGUUUUCUCUGCUCUCACCGCACACCAAUAAAAGACCCGAGAAAACAUAGCAAAAAAUGAGGAAAUAGUAUGGUACCAUAACAUUACAUUUCUUCAGCAUUUCUUUCAAGCAUUAUUUUUACAAUCGCUAGUCUCCACGUACUAAACAUUUUCUUCACAGCUGCUGCACAACAAGCAUUUUCCAUGCAAGAGUGCAGCUUGAAUGAAGCAUUGAGAAUGCAUGAUUCACAAUAAUCACCAGCUACUUACUGUAGCUUUGUGUCUGGGGUCCCUCCCAAAUCUUGGGACAAUAAAGCGUGAUUCUGAUACUUUGAGGAUCUUGUUACUCACUCCUCAGCCUGCAGAUGACAAAGGCUAGUGUGAGAUACUAGCAUACAUUUGAUAUUGACAUCUGGAGCACAAACAUCACAAGCCACAUGCUGCAGCACACAAGGCUGAGCUGGGACCUACACAAAUGUAGUGUGAGCACUGCACAUUAAAAGAAUAAGCGCUACCCUGUGUUUCAAAUGAUCUGAGCAAUAAGACUGAAUGCUGGGCUAGCUGGUUCUGGUCGAACCAUAGGUUGAAAGAAACAAGCCACCAGUCUGACAUUCAUCCUCUCUUUGCUCAUCCUUGUUACAACAAUGUUUAGUUGACCUGACUGAGCCUCUAUUACCUUUUCCUUAGCAACAACAUGUGCUGGAGUUCGUGAAAAUAUAGCCCAACAGAGGGCACAGCAAUAACAUAGCCAGCGCUGUGUUGCAGUUAUUUCAGUCUUUUUUCUCCCCUUUCUGCGAUCACAACUGUUCAACGUUUUCUUUUCACCAAGAAAUACCAACGAGCCCAACUGAGCACAAAGCCAGAGUUGCAAGAUGUGCAGCGAGUGAUGCCUUGAGGUGUGAAUUGAAGAUCAUGAUCAUGCGGCUGUGUGCACUCCUGUGUCAAAUGUCCAUUGUGUGUUGCUCUUGACAGAUCGCAAAAAAAUCUAUCUCUCGAAAACCAUAUAUAAAUUAUUAACCUGCACAGCACUUCGCAUUGCGUACACUGACAGCUGACAAGCACGCAAGGACUAGUAGAAUAUUAUGUUCUUCACUGUGUAAGCAUGUCAUUCUCAACAAGCACCAUCAAGCAGAGCCCUUUUUGAUUUUUUCAAAGAAAUGAUCAGAUUACUCUGAAUCUUUACAUCACUAUACAAGCACAAAUUAAUUAUGAAGCAUGUGUAGGCAAUGAUGUACAGCAACGCAUCUUUGGUCAGCUCACUAAGCCCCUGACUACUUGGGCUACUCACUUUUUAACACAAUGCAGAUUUCUUCAUUUGUUUUACACAAUGCUGGCGUAAUGAGAGCUUCCAGUUCAGAUUCAUAUGCAUAAGAAUAAUAAAACAUAGAGUACAGUACUCAAAAUAAAUAUUUUAAACAAAUGUACUCGAUGCAUUCCAUCUAAAACACUGCAAUGUAAAGCUUCGAGGGAUAGUAAUUUCAUACAAUAAGAAUUUUACCUUGUGUCUUAGACAGACA